rnacentral:tRNA from 1 species
AGGUGCCCAGGGAUGGGAAUCGAACCCACUGUGUUCCGCUUACCGGGCAGAUGCCAUGUCCACUAGGCUAUUU